rnacentral:rRNA from 1 species
CCAAUAGCGUAUAUUAAAGUUGUUGCAGUUAAAAAGCUCGUAGUUGAACUUCGGGAUCAAUGGAUUGGUCAUGCCGAUGGUAUGAACUGGUCAUAUUGGUUCUCACCUUCUAAGGAACCAUAAUGUCAUUUAUUUGAUGUUGUGGGGAAUUAGGACUGUUACCUUGAAAAAAUUAGAGUGUUUAAAGCAGGCUAACGCUU